rnacentral:sRNA from 1 species
UGCAUUAUUGAGUAUAAGAACUUAAAUCGCAAUCGGAUCUUAAAAGACUAAGUAGAGUUUCCUUGUUAGAAGAUACAAAGCCAAAGACUCAUAGGGAGUUUAGCUACACCAUCAAAGCUUUGAGAAGCAAAAACAAGCU